AAACAACCUCCUAUGUUUUGAUUCUUUGGCAGUUUUGGACCCCUAAACAAAACAAAAAAAUUGACACGUGGCACCUCACUUAGGGUGUCACGUCAGAGUUGACCGAGUCAACAAUGGACUGGGGGUCCAAAACUGCCAAUGAAUCAAAACAUAUGGGGCUGUUU
rnacentral:pre_miRNA from 1 species